GGAGUGAUACUCAAGAGGCCGAAGAGGCGCCCCUGCUAAGGGUGUAGGUCGGGAAACUGGCGCGAGAGUUCGAAUCUCUCUCACUCCG
rnacentral:tRNA from 1 species